ACUUACGGCCAUACCAACCUGGCCAUGCCCGAUCUCGUCUGAUCUUGGAAGCUAAGCAGGUUGGGGCCUGGUUAGUACUUGGAUGGGAGACCGCCUUGAAAUACCAGGUGCUGUAAGCU
ensembl:rRNA 5S_rRNA 5S ribosomal RNA